CCCUUAGAUGUCCGGGGCUGCACGCGCGCUACACUGAAGGAAUCAGCGUGCUAAAACCAUUGUCGAAAGGCAUUGGUAAACCCAUUAAAAUCCUACGUGAUUGGGAUCGGGAAUUGCAAUUAUUUCCCUUGAACGAGGAAUUCCCAGUAAGUGUGGGUCAUAAGCUCGCGUUGAUUACGUCCCUGCCCUUUGUACACACCGCCCGUCGCUGCCCGGGACUGAGCCGUUUCGAGAAAAGCGGGGACUGCUGCUGUCGGGGCUUUCGGGCCUUGGCUUCGGCGGAAACCGCUUUAAUCGCAGUGGCUUGAACCGGGCAAAAGUCGUANCA
rnacentral:rRNA from 1 species